ACAUACGACCAUAGACUCAAGAGAACUGGGCAUCCCGUCCGCUCUGCCAUACAUAACCUUGAGAUCGGUGGAUUAGUAGUUGGGUGGGUGGCCACCAGGGAAUACCCACUGUUGGAUGUC
rnacentral:rRNA from 1 species